GGAGCCAAGAUCAGGAUGGGGAAGAGCUUCUGCAGGACAUCUGGGAUGGCUGCCAGCAGAAGGGCUGAGGGUUCACUUUUGUGGGUGACUCCUACAGAUAUCAGGUGCCAGAAUUGGGAGCUGGCAUCAGCCCUACUAAAAUGAGGACAAAGAGAGAAGGGCAGGGCCAGAAUGGCCUGAGACGCUCAGGCCAGCCUCCGGCUCUCAGAUAGGGUGCUGAGGCCCAGAGAGAAUGCCCUGCUGAGGUCUCCUGAGAACAGCAUGCAAGGUUCUCCUUCUUGUUCCCACUGACCCAUCCAGAGGAUGAUAAAGAACUCCUUGGUGCCCACUGCACAGGUAUGUCUGAGCACCAGGAAGCUGCAGUACUAGAAGAAGCCAGAAGAUGGCAGCAGCUCCCCUGGAACUAGAGUUCUAAAUGGUUUUUGAGCCACCUUGUGGGUGCUGGAACCCCGGCUCCUCUGGAAGAACAAAUCCUCUUAACUGCAGAGCCUUCUCCUCAGGCCCAAACCCUUCCUUUAUCAAGCUGCCUUGGCCAGGUACUUUGUCACCGCAACAAGAAAAAUAACUCAAAUAAACUAAAAGUAACAGCAUGUAU